UACGUAGGGUGCGAGCGUUGUCCGGAAUUAUUGGGCGUAAAGAGCUCGUAGGCGGUGUGUCGCGUCGGCCGUGAAAACCUGGGGCUCAACUCCGUGCCUGCAGUCGAUACGGGCAGACUAGAGUUCGGUAGGGGAGACUGGAAUUCCUGGUGUAGCGGUGAAAUGCGCAGAUAUCAGGAGGAACACCAAUGGCGAAGGCAGCACUCUGGGACGUGACUGACGCUGAGACGCGAAAGCGUGGGGAGCAAAC
rnacentral:rRNA from 1 species